AAUACUCGCACACAGCACAAUCAGUGUGUUAGUUGAAUUGACAUUGUGACCACGCGUUUAAGUUUUUCUUGUUUACACAAGAGUUUAUACGUAACUUUGAAGAGAUUGUAAAUAAUUGAUUGCAAAAAAUAUAUUGAAUCGUGAAUAAUCACCAUUGUGUUUUAAGAGUAAGGCGACGUUAUACGUGUUUUUAGUCCCAACAUUAUGGGGUAAUUGAAGGCGUUUUCGUGAGAACGAAGCGUAUGUUAAAGGAGAUACAUACAGUAUUAAUUUUAAGACAAGGUUGUACGGAAAACCGGCAGUCAUGUAUUCUAUGAAUUAUAUCGGUCAGUUCAUAGCGAACUUUCGCGAAUUCUAUAAUGAGAUCAACGCAGCAACACUUACUGGAGCUAUAGAUGUCAUCGUAGUCGAACAGCCCGAUGGCAGCUUCACCUGCUCGCCAUUCCACGUGCGUUUUGGGAAACUCGGCGUGCUUCGAUCCAGAUUUAAAGUGGUGGACCUAGAAUUGAAUGGUGAGCCUUUGAAUAUCCACAUGAAGCUGGGGGAGUCUGGUGAGGCAUUUUUCGUUGAAGAAGUAGGCGAAGACGAAGCUGAAUGUUCCGCUCACCUUGCCACCUCGCCCAUCCCGGCUGCAAGGUUCGAGGAAUUAUAUGAGCCACGUCGUCGCAAUUCGCUCUCUGCUGUCGAACCCGACCAUGGGCAGGCAUCAGAUUAUACUAAACGAAGAUACACUGCAGACGGACAAACUAUGCAGAAACCGGACUUGACCAAGAUUAAGAAGAAUACGACGAAAGACGAGAAACCAUCAAAAGACAACGAGGCCCUGUUUGAAAUGGAGGACCUCGACGAAGGUACCGACUGGACGGACGGAAAAACACCGAAAACGUUCGCGGCCACUCAGCUUGGCGAAGCGGAAAGCGAAGCGAAUCAGGCCGUACAAAAAAUUAGCGUCCACAAUGACUUUAGACCUAUAGACGUCGCGCCCACCGAGGAGGAGGUCAAGCAGAAUGGGAACGGCAAGAAAAAGAAAAAAACCAGAAAAGUCAGCUCUAAGAAGAAGCACCAAAGAAAGUCGUCCACUAGUUCUGUAUCUAGUCAGUCGGACCGCGCUGGCUCGGAGCAACGAGCCUUGCAGACGACCGCCAUUGUUAACGCCACUGAUAUGAGUUUCUUUAGUGACACCGAACUGAAUGCUGCUACAUUGAGUGAAGAGAUGUCGAAUUUGAAGCUGAAUGAAAAUCGUAUUCCAUUGGCGUUGUCAGACACAGCAUUUGAGGUCCACGCCGCCUCAAAACAUUCCAGAGGUUCUCGGGGCGGUACUCCAGUACAGUCGGACACCGAGGUGGAGCUGUCGAGAACAACGACCGGCGACAAGUCAUCGCAGUCGUGGAGGUGGGGUGAGCUCCCGGAGCCUCCGGUGCGCGGGGUGGAGUCAGGCGAGUGCGCGUCGGCGCCGUCACCCGCCUCCGCCUCCCCCGCGUCCCCUUCCUCGCCCGCGUCCCCCGCCUCGCCCGCCGAGCCGCUCAGCUCCGAUGAGGAGCGGCCCAGCCGGCGUGGCGUGCUCAGCGGCAUGUUCCGCUUCAUGUCGACGCGGGACUCUGCCGACAACGCGCCCGAGGGGAUCUACCUGGACGACCUGGACCGUGGUCAGGUCAACCCCGACCUGUACUUCCCGAAAUAUCAUGCUGAACGUCAUCGUGGCAGCUCGGUGGUGCAGCACGCGCGCGCCGCUCCCACGGAGGAGGAGUACGAGUCCGGGAACGGCCCGUCCCUGCCGCAGUCGCCGGCCUCGCUAGAACCGCCCGUCAUGGACUCGGACGACGACGACAAAAUCUUAGCAAAGGGUCAAGUGUGUCUGUACGUGCGCGAGGACAACGUGUCCCGCGCGCUGUCCUUCGAGGAGUUCUGCUCCGACGGCGCCCGACUGGCGGCGGAGGGCCGGCUGCUGGUGCGGCUCGGCGACCGCUGGAUGCCGUGGCGCAGCGCGGGGCCGCUCAUCCUGUCCCUGCUCGUGUACCGCCGACCUUUGCCAAACCGCGUCUUGGAGUCACUGGAGAAAGGUUCGGAGAAGGAAGAGGCGGACGCGGCGAGCUCGCACCGCGGAGACAGCGGCAGCAAGCCCCGCGCCUACUCCUGGUGGAGCUGGAGGCGGACGUCCGAGGCUAAACAUGCCGAAAAGACCUCUCUAUCGGACGACAUUCCAACAAAGUCGAGUCCACCACAAUCUGAAGCCGUAGACACUGUUGCACUCCAAGAGACGCCUGCGGAAGAAUCGACUGUGGAAACAAUCGAAGAGACGCAAAACAUUGUAAAUGUUGAUGACGUGUUUGAAUCUCAGCCCGUCGAAGUGGAGGAAAACAUACUUACGAUGUCAGAAAACGCUGUCCACCAAGAACAAGCAAUGGAUCACCAAGACCAGAGUUCAUCGGAUUCGGAACAAGAGCAGCAGUUGCCCAGGUCGUCGAGGGCGCGCCGCCACUCGACCUUCCGGAAGACCCUUCGUUUGUCAUCAGAACAGAUUAGAAACUUGAACCUCCGCGAGGGCAUGAACGAGAUGGUGUUCAGCGUGACCACGGCCUACCAGGGCACCACGCGCUGCAAGUGCAACGUGUUCCGCUGGCGCUACGACGACAAGGUCGUCAUCUCCGACAUCGACGGAACCAUCACCAAAUCGGACGUACUGGGCCAUAUAUUCCCAAUGGUCGGCAAAGAUUGGGCCCAGUCUGGGGUCGCUCAACUAUUCACGAAGAUAAAGAACAACGGAUAUCAACUGCUCUAUCUGUCGGCCAGGGCCAUCGGACAGGCCAAAGUGACUCGGGAAUAUCUGCGCUCAAUCAGACAAGGCGAGGUGUGUCUACCGGACGGGCCGCUGCUGCUGAACCCUACAUCGUUGCUUCGCGCCUUCCAUCGAGAGGUCAUCGAGAAGAAACCAGAAGAAUUCAAAAUUCAGUGCCUCGCCGAUAUCAAGGCGCUGUUCCCUCAAGGGUCUAAUCCAUUUUACGCUGGCUAUGGGAAUAGAGUGAAUGACGUUUGUGCAUAUCAAGCUGUCGGUAUUCCGAUUGUAAGAAUUUUCACCAUAAACUAUAAGGGCGAAUUAAAACAUGAACUAACACAGACAUUCCAGUCCACUUACCACGUGCAAAGUGACAUGGUCGAUGAUUUGUUCCCACCUCUGAAACGCGAUAAAAAUUCUAGAAUCAUACGUGAAAUUUAGGGUUUAAUUUAAAAUUAAAUAUUUUGCGAAAGAAAUUAAGCGGACAGGCAAUUACGCCGGUAUUCCCAUAUGUCAGUGCUGGUGGACCAGGUGUUUCCGCCGGCGCAGUGCGAGCCCAGCGACGAGUUCUCGCAGACGGUGUACUGGCGCGACCCGCUGCCCGCCGUCGACC
rnacentral:misc_RNA from 1 species